rnacentral:rRNA from 1 species
GAUGAACGCUGGCGGCGUGCCUAAUACAUGCAAGUCGAGCGAACAGACGAGGAGCUUGCUCCUCUGACGUUAGCGGCGGACGAGUGAGUAACACGUGGAUAACCUACCUAUAAGACUGGGAUAACUUCGGGAAACCGGAGCUAAUACCGGAUAAUAUAUUGAACCGCAUGGUUCAAUAGUGAAAGACGGUUUUGCUGUCACUUAUAGAUGGAUCCGCGCCGCAUUAGCUAGUUGGUAAGGUAACGGCUUACCAAGGCAACGAUGCGUAGCCGACCUGAGAGGGUGAUCGGCCACACGGGAACUGAGACACGGUCCAGACUCCUACGGGAGGCAGCAGUAGGGAAUCUUCCGCAAUGGGCGAAAGCCUGACGGAGCAACGCCGCGUGAGUGAUGAAGGUCUUCGGAUCGUAAAACUCUGUUAUUAGGGAAGAACAAAUGUGUAAGUAACUAUGCACGUCUUGACGGUACCUAAUCAGAAAGCCACGGCUAACUACGUG